UGUGAUAAACUGUGGUUGUAAUGUCACUGAGAGCCACUAGGGUGUGCUAGAGGGGAGAGAUAACCACAUCCAGGCCACCAUAGAGCGAGUGGUUAGUGUUUGGUAGAGGGAACCGCAUGGUGAACUAAUGCUACCAACCCACUCGGGACUGAAGGGUGCUAUAGAUGGUGGUUGUGUGUUAUUGGACUACACUAAGAUGGCUGAUGGGUUUUAAUGGAACGUUAUGAUCAUCAGCGGUCUAUUCUGGAAGGUGAGGAACACCGGCGAGUGAGCUAACAUCGCAUUCUGAGACUGGAUUGAUACGGCAGCACUGUGGCUCAGCGGUUAGCACUGUGGCCUCACAGCAAGAAGGUCGCUGGUUUGAGUCUCGGCUGGGUCAGCUGGUGUUUCUGUGAGGAGUUUGCAUGUUCUCCCCGUGUUGGCGUGGGUUUCCUCUGGGUGUCCCCCACGGUCCAAACACAAGCGCUUUAGGGGAUUUGAUGAAUGUUAUUUUAUGAAAUGUUGAUUAAAAAUAAAUUAUCUGGAAAAACAAAACAAAGUUCUUCAAGUCUAAACUUUAAUUUAUUAAGUCUAAAAUCUAAACUGAGCUGUCACGGUUUGCUCUGC